UCUCUGCUCAGUUCCCAUAUCCACCGCUCUCGAGUCUGAAGUUGAUGAUGAAACCCCAUUUGCAUAUGUUGAAGGGACUGGUAAAGGGCCAAAGAAAUGGGGUCAGAUUGACCCACAUUGGCAAGUUUGUGAUAGUGGAGAAAUGCAAUCUCCUAUUGAUCUUCUUGACAGAAGGGUAGAAGCUUCUCCCAAUCUGGGUAAAUUGCAUAGAGAUUACAAACCAGCUCUUGCAUCUGUAAAGAACAGGGGACAUGACAUCGAAGUGAUUUGGAAAGGAGAUGCAGGAAAAAUCAAUAUUAAUGGUACUAAUUACAAACUGGAACAAUGUCAUUGGCAUUCACCUUCAGAGCACACAUUCAAUGGUUCAAGAUAUGAAUUGGAGCUUCACAUGGUUCACUUUAGCUCUAAGAGGGAGAUAGCUGUUGUUGGAAUCACUUACAAAUACGGUCGGCGUGAUCACUUCCUUUCAAGGUUACUCCACCACAUAAAAUAUGUCAACAAAGAAGAGAGAGAUUUGGGAGUUCUCAACCCAGGAGAUAUCAAAUUUGGGAGCAGAAAGUACUACAGAUAUAUUGGUUCUCUUACAGUUCCUCCUUGUACUGAAGGUGUUGUUUGGACAAUAGUCAAGAAGGUGAGGACAGUUUCAAGAGAGCAAGUGAAAGCAUUAAGGGAUGCUGUUCAUGAUGGAUAUGAGAGAAAUGCAAGACCAAAUCAGCCAUUAUAUGGAAGAGCAGUUUACAUGUACAAUCCAAGUAAGAAUGGAGCAUAAGUCUAUGAAUCCAAAGAAAUGCUAGCUACAAAAUGAAUAUAUACAAUAAUUUAUUCAUAUCUUCAAGAUUCAAGACCAAGGCUGCUCAUUCCAAAUUAAAGUUAAAGAACAAAAUACUUGAAAAGAGUACUAUAACUAUCAUCUUAAAAAAAACACUAUCACACACCCUUAUAUUGAUAUGAAGGGUUAACGUAACUAUCUUUGUAUGGUGCAAUUGUUGGAUUUUGAAAGCGCAGUUUGUUAUUUUGUUGCCGUUGUCUACGUUGCUAUUGGUAACUGUGCUUUGCGGCUAUUUAUAAUAUACUCUUUAGCACCAUAAAAUAGUAAUUGUGCUUUGCAGCUAA
rnacentral:misc_RNA from 1 species